rnacentral:rRNA from 1 species
UACGUAGGGGGCGAGCGUUGUCCGGAAUUAUUGGGCGUAAAGGGCGCGCAGGCGGCUCGUUAAGUCUGGUGUGAAAGCCCGGGGCUCAACCCCGGGAUGGCAUUGGAAACUGGGGAGCUUGAGUGCAGGAGAGGGGAGCGGAAUUCCUGGUGUAGCGGUGAAAUGCGUAGAGAUCAGGAGGAACACCGGUGGCGAAGGCGGCUCUCUGGCCUGUAACUGACGCUGAGGCGCGAAAGCGUGGGGAGCGAACAGG